AACCCAGUUUCUUACAUUACGAGCCCUGGGAGUAAUGAUAACGGCAAGCACUCUCCACUGUGAGCGGAGUGAGGAUCUUCUCCCUGACAGUAUCCUGAGGGAUCGAACACACGUCCGUUAUCUGACCACACCUCUCCGAGCCUCAUGAUGUAACGAGUCUGGUGUCCUGCUCACUGUCAGUUUGAAGGUGACGGACUUCUGCAGGCCGUCAGGUGAGACCUGCAGCAGCUCAGCGACCACCCGGAUCUCCUGCGCGCUCACCACUGCCGCGACCUCCUGACCCUCAGCCUGCAGGGACGCACACCCAAACAGCGACCUGAUGUGGCUGGAAGUAGACGUUCCCCAGAUGAAGGACGGACGACAAAAGUCUGUAAAUGCUUGUUUGCUCCUCCGGGGUGAAACGCAGGAUGUCCAUGGCACUCAGCAGACGCCUGAAGUCCAUCCCGUCAUCCUUUCCCUCUAUGACUUACUGAGCUGGAAACAAUACUGUGGAAAAGACAAACGGAUGGAUGGCUGAUGAACAGACUGGGCUGUGUAACGAUGGAGGGGAACAUGUUCGACAUCUCGCCAUCUUCCUCCACCAUCUCCUCUUUCUCACGAUGACUCAUUGUGUCCCCUCAACAUGUUAACG
ensembl:lncRNA